rnacentral:rRNA from 1 species
CCUACGGGUGGCAGCAGUGGGGAAUAUUGGGCAAUGGGCGCAAGCCUGACCCAGCAACGCCGCGUGAAGGAAGAAGGCUUUCGGGUUGUAAACUUCUUUUCUCAGGGACGAAGAAAGUGACGGUACCUGAGGAAUAAGCCGCGGCGAACUACGGGCAAGCAGCCGCGGUAAUACGUAGGGGGCAAGCGUUAUCCGGAUUUGUGGGGUGUAAAGGGUGUGUAGGCGGGAGCGCAAGUCAGAUGUGAAAACUCAGGGCCUAACCCUGGGCCUGCCUUUGAAACUGUGUGUCUUGAGUGCUGGAGAGGCAAUCGGAAUGCCGGGUGUAGCGGUGAAAUGCAUAGAUAUACGGAAGAACACCGGUGGCGAAGGCGGAUUGCUGGAGAGUAACUGACGCUGAGGCGCGAAAGCGUGGGUAGCGAACAGGAUUAGAUACCCUUGUAGUC